UUCCAGCUCCGAAUCCAUCAAAAGUUUAUUGCGUUUUGGUGCUAAAGGACGUUUCCUUCUUGUUCUACGAGCCAAAAGGCAAAAUAAAACACCACCAGCUACCGCACCAAGACCCACCAUGGGACCAAGAAUUGCUAGGGCGUUCCAACAUGGGAAACGGCCCGUCGUUACACAAAUCUGCCUGACAACAUUCUACGUGAUAGUGUGCUCCGUGUUUGCUUCCUGGAGCAAGUUUGUUGCAUAUCAGUGGCAUUUGAUCCGGUUCAGUUGUACAUGCACGUUUGACGCGUUCAGUACCGUCCGACUCUCGAACUCUCGAUUUCCAGCACUGGUUUCAUUGGAAUAAAAUACAUUUUAUUAGAUUCACUUAUGCACGACGACUUCUUAAUAAUAAUCAUUGAAUUUCAAAAAUUUUUAAUUAGAUUUCUCAUUCUGUCCAUUUGUACUUUUUAUUUUAUUGAUCAGAAAUAUCAACUUCAUUCAAAUAUUCAAGUUAGUCGACCACAUUUUUCACACCAUUCUUUUAUCUUAUAAACCAAAGUUCCACAAUUUUAAACACUCUACCGUAAUGGCAUUAUUGCAGAACUCCGGAUUUCUGCAUUCCAUUCCCUCACAUGAGUAACAUUUGAAUCGUCGAGGAGCUCCACUGUUUGCACUGAAACGUGGGUUGUUAAGGGAGUCAAUAGAUUCUGCCGGUUCUUCGCUAUCCAAGCCAUUUUGUUGCUCUUCCAAUAAUGGACUUUUAGGCCUCUCCGCUAUGAUUUCAUAACAAUAAUGUACAAUACAAUUAUCAGAAAUGACAGGAAGCAAUAAAAAAACAAUCGAUCAAGUA